rnacentral:rRNA from 1 species
GACGAACGCUGGCGGCGUGCUUAACACAUGCAAGUCGAACGGAAAGGCCCUGCUUUUGUGGGGUGCUCGAGUGGCGAACGGGUGAGUAACACGUGAGUAACCUGCCCUUGACUUUGGGAUAACUUCAGGAAACUGGGGCUAAUACCGGAUAGGAGCUCCUGCCGCAUGGUGGGGGUUGGAAAGUUUCGGCGGUUGGGGAUGGACUCGCGGCUUAUCAGCUUGUUGGUGGGGUAGUGGCUUACCAAGGCUUUGACGGGUAGCCGGCCUGAGAGGGUGACCGGCCACAUUGGGACUGAGAUACGGCCCAGACUCCUACGGGAGGCAGCAGUGGGGAAUAUUGCACAAUGGGCGGAAGCCUGAUGCAGCAACGCCGCGUGCGGGAUGACGGCCUUCGGGUUGUAAACCGCUUUCGCCUGUGACGAAGCGUGAGUGACGGUAAUGGGUAAGGAAGCACCGGCUAACUACGUG